rnacentral:hammerhead_ribozyme from 1 species
AUCCAGUUGAUGAGUCCAAAAUAGGAUGAAAUGCACAUCCUAGAU